rnacentral:tRNA from 1 species
ACCUGGGUGGCUCAGUCGGUUGAGCGUCCGACUUCGACUCAGGUCAUGAUCUGGUGGUUUGUGGGUUCGAGCCCCGCAUCGGGCU